rnacentral:rRNA from 1 species
AUGUGGCAACCAAAAUACCUCAUCCUCGUCGCGGUCUCGCUCUCUGUCCUUGCAUGCGCGGUGGUGGGAGACGGUGGCGGCAGGCCACUGGUGACGGCCGUCACCAAGGACGCGGCCACCUCCCUCUACACCAUCCCCGUCAAGUCCGGCCGCCCGCUGGUCCUCGACCUCUCCGGCCCCAUCGUCUGGUCCACGUGCGCCGAUGGCGCCCCCCAUGACACGCUCGAGUGCAACAACAUCGACUGCAUGCGCGCGCACCGCUUCCACCCGCCCGGCUGCCCGCACACCGGCUACGGCAUGCCCGACGUCCACAACCCCUUCCGGUGCAAGUGCACGGCGCACCCGCACAACCCCGUCUCCGGCGACACCGCGUCGGGGAACAUGACGCGCGUGGCGCUCUCCGCCAACGCCACCGACGGCAUGAACCCGUUGGGCCCGGUGUCGUUCACCGCCGUGACGUCCUGCGCGCCGAACACCCUGCUACAGGGGCUGCCGGCGGGGGCCGUGGGCGUGGUGGGGCUCGCGCGCUUCAGCCUCGCGUUCCCAGCGCAGGUCGCGGGCACGCAGGGCGUCGCUAACUCGUUCGCGCUCUGCCUCCCUAGCAACCCAGGCAACGGCGUCGCCAUCUUCGGCGGUGGCCCGCUCUUCGUCCUGGGGCAGCCCAUCUCGGAGAUGCUGGGCGGCAGCACCCCCCUCCGCAAGCACGGGGACUCCCCCGGCUACUACAUCAGGGCCAGCAAGGGCAUCACCGUGGACGGACUGCGGAUACUGCCGGGCGAUCACGCACCGCUCACCAUCGGCCUCUCCACGACGACCCCCUACACGGAGCUACGCAGCGACGUGUACCGCCUGUUCAUCAACGCGUUCGACCAGGCGAUGGAGCGCUGGGGUGCUGCCGCUUUGAGGGUCCCCUCCCCGGCCGAGUCGCCGUUCGAGCUGUGCUACAACAAUUCGAAGCUGUCGCAGACGCGGUUCGGCUUCUUCGUGCCGAGGAUCACCCUGAUGCUGGACGGCGGCACGAGCUGGCAGGUGUUCGGCAUGAACUCCAUUGUGCGGCUGAACCGCGCCACGGCGUGCUUAGCUUUCGUCGAGAUGAAGGCGGGGAACAAGGCUGGGUAUGGCGGCGGUGCGGCGCCGGCGGUGGUCAUCGGAGGGUUCCAGAUGGAGAACAUGCUGCUGGUGUUCGACGAGGAGAAGCAGACGCUCGGAUUCACCACCGGGCGGCACCUCAUCACGGGGCUCUCCUGCGGCCACUUCAAUUUUACGAUGCCCGCCUAG